GGAGUUGUAGCUCAGUGGUAGAGUCCUGGCUUUGAAAGUGUGAGGCACUGGGUUCAGAUCCCAGCACCA
rnacentral:tRNA from 1 species